UAGCGAGGGGGCAAGCGUUGUUCGGAAUCAUUGGGCGUAAAGCGCACGUAGGCGGUUCGUUAUGUCGGAUGUGAAAGCCCUUGGCUUAACCGAGGAAGUGCAUCCGAAACUGGCGAGCUAGAGUACGAAAGAGGAUCGCGGAAUUCCCGGUGUAGAGGUGAAAUUCGUAGAUAUCGGGAGGAACACCGGUGGCGAAGGCGGCGAUCUGGGUCGAUACUGACGCUGAGGUGCGAAAGCGUGGGGAGCAAACAGG
rnacentral:rRNA from 1 species